AAACAUAAGAAAAGAGGCGAUUCUGCCCGUGACAUCAAGAUGCUUGUGAUUAUGCGAAAAUGUUGGGACAUAUCACAGUUUACUUGCUGUCGCAGGCGGAUUAUUGCUAUUGCUCAUUUUGUG
rnacentral:pre_miRNA from 14 species